UAAUAUGGUGCAUUUGGAUCAACGUUAUUUUACCAUUAGUAGAUUGCAUGGCUAUGAGGCGUUGAGUGGGCGUAGGCCUGCGGUACCUAUGUGUGCGUGGGUCCAGUACCUAUUGGACAGGCGUCUAUGACGUCGGGGCCUUAGGUGUGAAUGUACAGAGGGGGUGCUAUCAGGCAUAAAUAUACGGGGCCCAUUGAUACGGGAGCGUACGACCUCCGGCCCUGACGUUAGACACGCUAUUCUAAGAUAGUAAAAGCGUCGUAGCAGUUGGAAGAAAAAAAAAACAUCGAACCGUCCUGUACAACUAUGCCGACUGACUGUAAGUAUUCAUAUGAGUGUAUUAUGAUUAUAUUAUGACUAUGUCUAUGUGAAUCAGCUGUUUAUAUCUGACCGUAGCUGCGAUUACUUUACAGCGAAUCGCGGUGCCGGAGGCGAGAGCGUGAAACAGCAGCAGGGUCCACGUGGAAGUAUGUUUUUUUUUUUUUUUAUAGCAGCGUGUAAUAUAUAGUUCCAUAACACUCUCUCUAUCAUUAUUAUUAUUAGUUAUGGUAUAUUCAUGUAGAACAAAGAUUAAAUUUGUGUUUUCCCAAUGUGUAACAGGUUUGCCUGAUAUUCGGCUCAACAUUCAAAGACCGAUUCUAGCAGACCAGACUAAUGUGCUGACAAGCGGUAGUUUUGUACCUAUCGAGGCCAAUGUCAUUCAGCGAACCCCCGGACCAAAUCGACUGUCCAAGAAGAAUUUGAAAAGAUCGGCGGGGGUAGUGGUGGCUAUACCCUGCCCGCCACUGGCCAUAGAACAGCUACAAAUUCCUUAUAAAAAGGCUCGCAAGGAUGCCACACAUAAUGGUUUAGCUCCGGAGAAUUUUACCCAGGUUAUACAGGCAGUCAUAAACCCACAAAUUGCUCAACAUGGAGCGGCAUGGUCUGAUGCCAAACACUGCGUGAUCGGGGACGUGGAGGUGCAUGUGUCUGAGUCGCCUACAGAGACCGUCACAGUGCAACCGGAUGGGACUAUACAACACGGUAGGAAAUUCAAUGAAAAAAAAAUAUGUAUAUAUUCUAUAGAGUGUAAUGAUUAUGAUGGGAUUGAUACUGAUUUCUUUUCUUUUUUUUUCUAUUACAAACAGCCCAUGGAGACCCCCAGUGUGCGCCACCACCAGAGCUGACCGCCGACGAUUGGGCUGGUCUUGACGACAUCUCGUCCUGGACUUCAUCGUUGUUGGAACAUAUCGACUUCACUCCUGCUCAGUGGAUCGACUCUCCAGCUACAUCCGUAGAGGAGUACACCAGUGCAGAGCCUGUACAACACCAUCAGCCUGCAGAUCCUGCAUCUGGAUCCCUACAAGCCAUUCAAGAUCCUAUCAGCGACCCCCCGUGCACCGUGAGUCCCAUCGCUCAUGAGGUAGCGGUGCCGCGGCUACCAGCCGGACCCGCAAUUGCUGUUGAUGAACACCAUGCAGGGGCGCAAGGUGAUAAAUGGCGUAAACAAUUUGCUGAUAAACUAGCUGUGUUAACUGCGUCGGUGGAUGUAAACUCCUUAGUCAUCGCUCGUCAGAGUAAACUGGGUGUGGCGGCUGGUAAACGUGGUGACCGUAUAUAUCAGGAGCUCGAAGAGCAGACGAAGCAGUCCUUCACGGCUCUCAGGGCCGAGAUUGCGCGUGAUCGUAUGACUGCUGAAUCCCCAAACACUGAGACCGGUAAUGGUCGUGCUAUCGUUGCCCUUCAGCGUAAGCAUUUGGAUGCCGUGGCAGCUGUGCGUGUCAACACACAGGGCAUAGAGAGAAUUAACGCGCAAGAGGGGUUAAGAGCUGCUAAAACCGCUCGAAAAUUCUGGUUAAUGCAAUCUGCUAGCGAAGCCAACGUCAAUGCCUAUCGGGCAAUGAGUACCGAGAUGUCUGUGAUUAAUGACACACUAGCAAAGCUUACGAUGAAUGCUAUUAUUUGAUUUGUGUUUUUGUUUUUAAUGUUUUUUUCUUUCAUUUCAUGGAGAGGGUAUCUUUUGUUUUAAACUGCAUGUAAUAAAACUUUUUUUUCUUUUAAUACCUGACUACUUAACGUUUUUUUUUUAUUAAAUAUUAUUAUUUAUAUAUAUAUAUUUAUUUUUUUUUAAUUUUUUUUUCUAUCUAUCGGCAUAGAAAACUAUAGCUGUACACUAUGCAUAACGCCAUUAGCCCUAGAAAAAGGAAAUUCAAAUCUAUAGACGGUAAUCCCAAGAGACGGCGUAGAUCUGAUAGUGGGGGUAGCAUUAUGGAUUUAGAACUUGAAGAGAUGGCAAUGAGGUAUGACGCAACCGGCGAUACGUCUCAUUUGUCGGCCGUAGGACAUGUGGGGGGUGGGGGCAUGUAUGCAGAAGGUUGUUUAGACAUGCGGGAAAUAUGUGUUGGCAUAGAUAGAACUAGGCGUGUGUUAAUUGCAGCUGAUGCAUGGGGUCAUAGCAUGGCUAAUGCUCUAUAUCAGGCAGCACAGAUAAAUGUUUCGAACGAACCAGGUCUAGAUGAGAUGGUGGGGCUAGAGGUGCCAGGAGAUUUAGACACAAGGGGUGUGUUGUAUGCGGGGGCAAACACACGAAAUGUACUUAACGCUGUCGGGGGGUGGUUGGAUAGUGCACAAGAGAGUCUAUACAUAUCAGCGCAGAUCGAUGUAUU
rnacentral:lncRNA from 1 species